rnacentral:rRNA from 1 species
UGGCAAACGGGUGAGUAACACGUAAGCAAUCUCCCUUUUAGUUGGGGACAACUCUGUUAACACGGAGCUAAUACCGAAUAUAGUAACGGAUCAGCAUUGGACUGUUACAAAAGAGGCAGCAAUGUCUCGCUGAAGGAUGAGCUUGCGUUCCAUUAGCUAGUUGGCGGGGUAACGGCCCACCAAGGCGAUGAUGGAUAGCCGGCCUGAGAGGGUGUACGGCCACACUGGGACUGAGAUACGGCCCAGACUCCUACGGGAGGCAGCAGUAGGGAAUCUUGCGCAAUGGGCGAAAGCCUGACGCAGCGACGCCGCGUGGACGAUGAAGUUCUUCGGAAUGUAAAGUCCUGUCAGGAGGGAAGAAACCUUUGCAUGAUAAAUGCAAAGCUGACGGUACCUCCAGAGGAAGCUACGGCUAACUUCGUGCCAGCAGCCGCGGUAAUACGGGGGUAGCGAGUGUUGUUCGGAUUUACUGGGCGUAAAGGGAGCGCAGGCGGUAAUGUAAGUCAGGAGUGAAAUGUUGGGGCUUAACCCCAAAUCUGCUUUUGAUACUGCAUUGCUAGAGUAUGCAAGAGGAGGAUGGAAUUCUAGGUGUAGCGGUGGAAUGUGUAGAUAUCUAGAAGAACACCGAUUGCGAAGGCAGUCCUCUGGUGCAAUACUGACGCUCAGGCUCGAAAGAUAGGGGAGCAAACAGGAUUAGAUACCCUGGUAGUCCUAUCCUUAAACGAUGGUCACUAGGUGUUGAGAGAGUCAACCCUCUCAGUGCCGAAGCUAACGCAUUAAGUGACCCGCCUGGGGAGUACGGUCGCAAGGCUGAAACUCAAAAGAAUUGACGGGGGCCCGCACAAGCGGUGGAGCAUGUGGUUCAAUUCG